rnacentral:rRNA from 1 species
UAGGGAAUCUUCGGCAAUGGGGGCAACCCUGACCGAGCAACGCCGCGUGAGUGAAGAAGGUUUUCGGAUCGUAAAGCUCUGUUGUAAGAGAAGAACGUGUGUGAGAGUGGAAAGUUCACACAGUGACGGUAACUUACCAGAAAGGGACGGCUAACUACGUGCCAGCAGCCGCGGUAAUACGUAGGUCCCGAGCGUUGUCCGGAUUUAUUUGGCGUAAAGCGAGCGCAGGCGGUUUAAUAAGUCUGAAGUUAAAGGCAGUGGCUUAACCAUUGUUCGCUUUGGAAACUGUUAAACUUGAGUGCAGAAGGGGAGAGUGGAAUUCCAUGUGUAGCGGUGAAAUGCGUAGAUAGAUGGAGGAACACCGGUGGCGAAAGCGGCUCUCUGGUCUGUAACUGACGCUGAGGCUCGAAAGCGUGGGGAGCAAACAGG